UGUUAGAGGUGGUUGUGUAAGACCCCUUUCGGGGACCCCCACUCUAGUCUCGGGAGUGUGAGAGCACCCAAAGAAACACGAGGACCC
rnacentral:pre_miRNA from 7 species